CCUACGGGGGGCAUCAGUGGGGAAUAUUGGACAAUGGGGGCAACCCUGAUCCAGCCAUGCCGCGUGUGUGAAGAAGGCCCUCGGGUUGUAAAGCACUUUCAGUGAGGAAGAACGCCUGGUGGUUAAUACCCAUCAGGAAAGACAUCACUCACAGAAGAAGCACCGGCUAACUCCGUGCCAGCAGCCGCGGUAAUACGGAGGGUGCGAGCGUUAAUCGGAAUUACUGGGCGUAAAGCGCGCGUAGGUGGCUUGAUAAGCCGGUUGUGAAAGCCCCGGGCUCAACCUGGGAACGGCAUCCGGAACUGUCAAGCUAGAGUGCAGGAGAGGAAGGUAGAAUUCCCGGUGUAGCGGUGAAAUGCGUAGAGAUCGGGAGGAAUACCAGUGGCGAAGGCGGCCUUCUGGACUGACACUGACACUGAGGUGCGAAAGCGUGGGUAGCAAACAGGAUUAGAUACCCGUGUAGUC
rnacentral:rRNA from 1 species